GAAAAUGAUAUGUCAAUUUCUUUGUUUCAGUGCCCAGGACGGUGGGUGAUCUUCAGUGGCCGAGCAGCACAUACCUGCAAUUACCAACGAAAGCAGCCAGUGCCACCCUCCUGGAGCGAUGGACCCGGGACAAAUCACACCUUCUGCCCCCUCACUUCUCCCAGAAGAGACAGGAAUGCCG